GGUCGUGUGGCCCAAUGGGUACGAAACCUCAAACAGCUCCUCUUCGACCUAAUCACACUAACAAUUCCUCCAGCAAGGCGUCUGACUACGAAUCAGAAGAUUGUGGGUUCGAUCCCCAUCAUGAUCA
rnacentral:tRNA from 1 species